rnacentral:rRNA from 1 species
UACAGAGGUGGCAAGCGUUGUUCGGAAUUACUGGGCGUAAAGGGCGCGUAGGCGGCCAUCUAAGUCAGACGUGAAAUCCCCCGGCUUAACCUGGGAACUGCGUCUGAUACUGGAAGGCUUGAGUAUGGGAGAGGGAUGUAGAAUUCCAGGUGUAGCGGUGAAAUGCGUAGAUAUCAGGAGGAACACCGGUGGCGAAGGCGCUCAUCUGGCCCAAUACUGACGCUGAGGCGCGAAAGCUAGGGGAGCAAACGGG